UUAUACCAAAUAUUGCUACUGCAGAUUUUACUAUGUAUUCAUGGUGGCCCAAAUAUUCUCAUAAAAUUAAUUCCAUAGACUACUUAUCUUAUAUGUCAGUGUGAAAGUUGACACAUGUAGGGCUGUCACAAUACCUGCUACUUCGGAAAAAAAAUCAAAACUCUUUGUCUAUAAAAUCAGUCCUAUAUUCUGUCUUCCAUACCUACUAAUUUACUAUUUAAUGGUGGGACACUGUACCUAGAGUUUAAACAUCCCAACUGAGCCUGUUAGAAUAGAGUCAUAUAAGGCCCAAGUACACACAGGAUUAAUUCAGUGUUAGUGUUUUAGCAUGACCUACAGGUACAGUAUUUAAGCACAUUUCCUCAUGAAUUUGCCUUCUGAGACAUGUACACUGUGGGACAGAAACACAGCAUCCAUAACAUAGAGAUAACCAUGUCCAGACCUUAAACAUAUUUUUUGUUUCAUGUAUACUGCUUUCGAGACUCUUGUGUCAGUGUGUUUACACAGAGUUAGAACGUUCAUGAUAGAAUAUGAUUGUAUUGGAAGUCAUGCUGUGUCUCCCUUUAGCCAGGAAAGCACUACCAUUUAGAUCUUGGUCAACCCAUCCUUUUAUACUUCAGGGUCUGAUGACAUUCAGUGAUGUGACUGUGAACUUCCCUAAAGAGGAAGCAGCAAUGCCUGGACUCUGCUCAGAGGACUUUGUACAUUGAUGUGAUGUUGGAGAAUCACAACAACCUGGUCUUUGUGGAGAACUAUUGCAAGUGUGAUCUUGUCCAUCACCGUGUGAAGACUGAAAAGGAGUCUCGUCAGUGUGAUGAGCUUGACAAAGUGCUUCAUGACCCCUCCACUUGUGCACUUUAUAGAACAAGUGAAUCUACAGAAAACUCUAAUGACUACACAUGCAGGAGUCACAUGGAUGCCUCUGUUGACUCAUCAAACCCAGACAGACAUGAAAGCAUGCACACUUGGUAGUACUCUAAGUGCUACCAAGAGUACUACCAAGCAGCCACAGUGAUUUCCUCCUGAUGGGCCUGCUGGACAGUGCUCUUGAACUCAAUGUGUUACCCUGACUAUCUCAAACUCUUCAUCCUCCUGCCUCAGUUUCCUGAGCACUGGGAUUAUAGGUAUACACUUUUUCCAGGUUCUCCAUUAAUUCCUCCAAGAGGGAUAGUCACUGUAAUUACUAAAAAUCCUUCAGUGCCCCUGAAGGGUACCAGCCAUGGUGUGCUCAGAGAGGCCUUGUUCUUCUACAUAAUAUGUAAUGCUCUUUGCGACCUGAAGAAUCAAUCCAAAAAGCUUCACCUUCCCAAAUA